rnacentral:piRNA from 1 species
CCCGCAAACCUCGGGGGACCCCGG